UUGGAGGGCAAGUCUGGUGCCAGCAGCCGCGGUAAUUCCAGCUCCAAUAGCGUAUAUUAAAGUUGUUGCAGUUAAAAAGCUCGUAGUUGAAUUUCGGGAUUAGUACGCUGGUCGUGCCUUCGGUACGUACUGGUGUUACUGAUUUCUACCUUCUGACGAACCAUCAUGUCAUUAAUUUGGUGUGGUGGGGAAUCAGGACUGUUACUUUGAAAAAAUUAGAGUGCUUAAAGCAGGCUCGCGCUUGAAUACAUUAGCAUGGAAUAAUGAAAUAGGACGUUGAUCCUAUUUUGUUGGUUUCUAGGAUUGACGUAAUGAUUAAUAGGGAUAGUUGGGGGCAUUAGUAUUCAAUUGUCAGAGGUGAAAUUCUUGGAUUUAUUGAAGACUAACUACUGCGAAAGCAUUUGCCAAGGAUGUUUUCAUUAAUCAAGAACGAAAGUUAGGGGAUCGAAGACGAUCAGAUACCGUCGUAGUCUUAACCAUAAACUAUGCCGACUAGGGAUCGGAUGAUGUUAUUUUUAAUGACUCAUUCGGCGCCUUACGGGAAAC
rnacentral:rRNA from 1 species